GGGAGAAUCAGAUGUAAUUUUUUCUGUAGAUAUCCAUGGAUAUAUUAUUUGCCUGAUUCCGAGUACGUAUGAGAAAAUUAUGCGUGUUUUAAGAAAUGAUACCCAAAUG
rnacentral:rRNA from 1 species